GCCCCGGUGGUGGAACUGGCAGACACGGCGGUCUCAAAAUCCGCUGCUUCACGGCGUGAGGGUUCAACUCCCUCCUGGGGCA
rnacentral:tRNA from 1 species